GGUCAAUUUUUGAUAUGAUAUUCAAAAAUGUUUAGAAUUCCUAAUUGUGGGUAACACAAAAAUAAAAAAAAAAAAAAAAAAAAAAAAAAAAAAAUAAAAAAAAAAAAAAAAAAAAAAAAAAAAAAAAAAAAAAAAAAAAAAAAAAAAAAAAAAAAAAAAAAAAAAAUAAAAAAAAAAAAAAAAAAAAAAAAAAAAAUCGUACAUAUUAAAA
rnacentral:misc_RNA from 1 species